AGCCUCAGAUUCUUUACUUAUCAGAUCUGCACACUGGCCUAAGCAGUGACAAAAGGAAGUAAAGUAAAAGUCAAACUGACUUCAUUGCUUUUGUGUCCCAUGGGCUAGUUGCAAAAAAAA
rnacentral:snoRNA from 1 species